AUUGAACGCUGGCGGCAUGCCUUACACAUGCAAGUCGAACGGCAGCACGGGAGCAAUCCUGGUGGCGAGUGGCGAACGGGUGAGUAAUAUAUCGGAACGUGCCCAGUCGUGGGGAUAACGUAGCGAAAGCUACGCUAAUACCGCAUACGAUCUAUGGAUGAAAGCGGGGGAUCGCAAGACCUCGCGCGAUUGGAGCGGCCGAUAUCAGAUUAGGUAGUUGGUGAGGUAAAGGGCUCACCAAGCCGACGAUCUGUAGCUGGUCUGAGAGGACGACCAGCCACACUGGGACUGAGACACGGCCCAGACUCCUACGGGAGGCAGCAGUGGGGAAUUUUGGACAAUGGGCGCAAGCCUGAUCCAGCAAUG
rnacentral:rRNA from 1 species